rnacentral:rRNA from 1 species
GUAGGGGGCAAGCGUUAUCCGGAUUUAUUGGGUUUAAAGGGAGCGUAGGCGGAAGCUUAAGUCAGUUGUGAAAGUUUGCGGCUCAACCGUAAAAUUGCAGUUGAUACUGGGUUUCUUGAGUGCAGUAGAGGUAGGCGGAAUUCGUGGUGUAGCGGUGAAAUGCUUAGAUAUCACGAAGAACUCCGAUUGCGAAGGCAGCUUACUGGACUGUAACUGACGCUGAUGCUCGAAAGUGUGGGUAUCA